UUUGUUUAUUUUGCAACAUCUCUUGUUACACUGGUAGAAUUAUUAUCCAGUACAAGCCGCAUGGAACAUCAGGGUGGGUUUGGAUCUAAUUUUCGGAUAGCAAUGUCCAACUAUAUUUAAGAUCUCCUACCAUUUUUAACCGUCUUUUCUUCUGUGUUUACUAAAAUGCAUUGCAGUCAAGCUGAAGCUGUUUCGCUUCAGAAGAUAUCUUCUGUCAGCUACAAAGUACUCCAAGAGUAGGUUUUCCUUUGCCCUAUUUAACUUUUGUACUCCAAGAGUAGAAGUCGAUGAUUGCUGUUUUCCAUAUGUAUUAGCCCAUGCGUGGAAUAAAAUGACCUAACCCCGGUCACUGGUGCAAACGAUAUAACACUGACAAACUUCCUCAUGAAUUAUGGAUUUUCUUGGUUGGGCACUUGGCAAGACCAGUACGAUCUGCUCCCCAAACUGAUCACCAACCUAUAGGUUGCUUAAAUGUGAUUUAGGGUCCGUUUGGUUUAUGCCCCAACGAGCCGUACCAAAUUGUGGGUGUGACCAAUUUUUUGGCGCACCUUUCCUCCGCCCUCGAUCCGCUCACAUAUUGGCGAGAAAAUGAACUGCGCGCGUGCUGGCUCGGUUGGGCUAGCCAAUUUCGGGGCCUCAAACCAAACCACAACCAAACAGCACCAAUGCGACAAUAUUUUGGUGGGGCUAACUUUGGCUCACAACCAAACAUGCCCUUAGUUGAGAUCAACUAUGAUGUUGUUUAUACUUGAUAUAUCAGAACUGCAGCAUGCAUCUGCUAACGAUUAUUAGAUCAGAACUGCAGCAUGCAUCUGCUAAUGAUUAUAAUAUCCCACUUUAGUUAUUGAUGUCAUUUCCAGAAAGAAGAACCCGACAACUUGAAAAUCAAUCGUGAUGGUUUCUUUCAUGAGGAGAGUUGCAGUUUAUGCAGCUUGUGUUCUUUUCAGACAAGCCAAUUAGAGUGCUAGAGGCACUUUUUAAUGUGUUCCAGCUCUUUUGAAGUUACAAGGAUGGGUUGAUACUAUGAAUUGUUUGGGUCGACAUGGUCUUUCAUCGCCAUAAGCCACAAACAAACUCAUAUUUAUAACAGGCUGAGUUGUUUUCAUUUUGGUUUUUAGAUAAUUUAGGAACAAAUUUUAUUUGAAAUUGUAAAUGAUUUUGCCUAUGCCACUGUAUUAGGAACGGCCGGAGAAGACAGAAACUUGCUUGACUGCUUACCCCUUGGAUUUGUUUGUUACCCAUUUGAGUUGCUAGCAUUUAUGGUGAGUAUUGAGCAAGUUUCUUGCCUGGUGACACGAUUGUUUGAGAGAAGACACAAGAUUUGAGUAUUCAAAGCUUUCACGAUCUGGUCAUCCUUGUAAGAAACAAUUUGUUAAAUCAGAGCAUGAUUAUUCCAAUAAGUUAGGUUUAUGCAUAAACAUGUUGUGAAAUUAUUGUUGUA